GCAGACAGGUGCUGAAGACCAUGUGAAGGCACAGGGAGGAGGUGGCCAUCUGCAAGCCAAGGAGAGAAGCCUCAGAAGAAACCAACCCUGCCAACACCGUGACCUCAGACUCCAGCCCCCAGAACUAGCCAUAGUUUGUCUUCCACAACUGGAGGUUUGAAAAGAAGGAUGAGGACACUGAAUCUCAGAGACGUCAAGUUCUUUCAUCGAGAUUCCAUAGAAUGUUCCCUGUUUCUUCAUCUAUGACAUGGGGAUAAUGUGAGUAUACCUACAUCAGAGGGCUGCGAUGAAGACUAAAUAAGAUAUCCCCAAUCUCAUCUUAAAUCUGAAUUGAACCUGUCAUAUUAUAGCCUGGCUCUUCUCUCACCAACUAUUUGGGGGUAAUGUAGUGAUUCAUUUUGUUUCCACAUAUUAUUUUAAGUUCUUACUACCUCCUUCCCCCAUCUAGGUUCAGAUUUUCCCCUGCUUUUAACAUCUUGGUCCAGGCAGCUACAUUAUCAAACUGUACUAGGAUGGCAAAAUCAUUUUUUCACAUAUGCUAACCAUCAAUGAUUAGUGGUGAUUUUAUGGAAAAAUAUGUUGAGAAUAAUUUAGAGGAAAGAUUUGGGUUCAGAUAGAACUAUCUGCCAUUGGUAAGUAAAGUAAAGUGAUGUUGUCACUUAUUUUAUCCCAUCCAUGAUGAGAAUUGAUGUUUAUAAAACCUUUGACUAUACAAUGAGAGUAUUAAGCAAAAAACAAGUAACAAAAAUUAAAAAUAAAAUGCUUUUGUAAUCAAGGUCAGAGAGGAUAUUCUUUUACUUUUUCCAUUACAUUAUUCAUGUGUGCAUAAUGGUGUACAGUAUUACUUUCCAUGUGUAAAAAAGAAAUCAUACAAUAGAGUGCAUAGAGAAGUGGAGAAAUGGAGAAUAGUUCUCAAAGUUAUUUGAUCUGGCAGAUUAUCUUCCAAAGAUGAGUGCAACUGUAUUUUCCAUAUCACAGCCUCUUCUGGAAUAUUAAACUCUGCCCCCAUCAAGAGGUGGUGUCUGUGUCUGUUCUUGAAUUUGGGUGGGUCUUCCCGACUGCUUCAACCAAGAGAGUCCAGUAGAAAUGAUACUAUAUGAUUUUGGAGGUUAGAUCAAAAGACUGCCAUGCAUUUUAAUUUUGUUUUUUGAGGGUUGCUGUCUUUUAGAACCCAGCCAACAUACUGUGAUGAAGCCUAAACAACUGUGGAGAGGCUCACGUGGAGAGGAGUCAAUGCCCACUGAUCUAUAAGCCUUGGCUGAGCUCUGAGCCAACAGUCAUGAUCAACUUCCAGCCGUAUAAGUGAACCAUCUUGAAAGAGGCUUCACCAGCACCAAGUUGAGCAACUUGAUUAUGUUACCAAAGAUCACCUCCUUCCUAUCAUCUUCCGUCUGAGACUUGCUUAGAGUGAGUUUGGAAGCUGUGUUUUGCUCAUCCUGAAGACUGAACAUAAGAAAAUAUUGCUCAAGUUCUGGAUGAUGCAGCUGCUGAAAUAAUCUGUGGUGCACUUUCCUUCAGGAAUCCUUACCUAUUUUUUCAGGUGUUCCACAAGCCUUCUUAUCUUGGAAUUCAGUAAUACUUAUUGUGUGGUUGCUUACUGUUCCCUAGGCACCCUGAAGCAUUGAAGCUUUGAAGCUUUGUCUCAUGCUUUCAAGUAAUGUUCUCGUGUUUACCUGCUGAUAUUCCUUCAAAGUUAGAGGCUGCCUCUCUCCAAGUGUGGAAAAAAACAAUCAGAUGUCACUAAGAUAUUGUGUAACAAUUCAUAUUAAACACAUGAUCUUGUCAGUCAAGAAGAAGAGAUUAAAACAAACACCUUGAGAGUUCAUGAGUAGAAGUAUACAGCCCUGCAUUCAUGAUAAUAUGGUGCAUUUUACCUACCUUGCAGCAGAAAGAGAUAUCUAAUUCCAUACACAGCAAUGUAACUGUUUAAAGUGCUCCUAAAAUUCAGACAAAACAAAUUAUAAAUAGUAUCAAGAUCAAAGAAGCUGAAAGUCCCUAUGUUUGAUGUAGGCACAGCAAAGUUUGAUGUAUAUGCUCAUUUCUCAGCACUGCAAGUAUGGAGAAACCAUCAGAAAGCAUGCUGAAAAUAGAGAGGGCUUCUAAAACAGAAAGCUCCUGCCUGUUUUACUGAAGGCUACCAGAUUCUUUCUCAGAAAUUUUGUACAGUUCAGAGGCACAAAUGCUCUUUUAGGUCCUUUGAAGCACUGGGUUUAAUAUCGGAAUUUAAUCUUGGCUCUAGUCUCCAAUUCCUUACAUAGUCAUUCAAGCAAUCUUGGGGACCAAGUCUUCCAAUAGCAUAGUGAUAUUCAUGCCUGAAGUGGGAGGAAUAGAUAUCCUCCUCAUUAACAAGGGAUGAGAGAUCAUGUUUCAUAGGCAAAAUACUCAUGCAUGCAAAAAUGUAACUUUUCCAGUAAUUUUUUUAGUACUGAAAUUAGCUUAGCUCAUUAGCUCUCUCUUCUACCUAGUAGCAGGGAAUGCAGUUUUGCUAACCCAGGUGACUCAUUAUUUCUGUUUUCAAGUUUAGUUUAUUUUAGGUAAAUUUUUGAAUUCAUAAUGUUUUUCUGACCUUUCUUCUCUUCCAGAAGAGGUUAUUCUAACUUCUUAAUGGAUUUACUUUUGUAGUUGUUACUGUUAUAUAUAUAUAAUAG
rnacentral:lncRNA from 10 species